rnacentral:rRNA from 1 species
UACGUAGGAUGCAAGCGUUGUCCGGAUUUACUGGGCGUAAAGCGCGCGCAGGCGGCACAGUAAGUAAGGUGUGAAAUAUCCCUGCUCAACGGGGAGGGUGCACUUUAGACUGCUGAGCUUGAGGUCGGUAGAGGGGGGUGGAAUUGCUGGUGUAGCGGUGAAAUGCGUAGAGAUCAGCAGGAACACCCGUGGCGAAGGCGGCCCCCUGGGCCGUACCUGACGCUGAGGCGCGAAGGCUAGGGGAGCAAACGGG